rnacentral:rRNA from 1 species
CCUACGGGAGGCAGCAGUGAGGAAUAUUGGUCAAUGGUCGGAAGCCUGAACCAGCCAAGUAGCGUGCGGGAUGAAGGCACUACGGAUCGUAAACCGCUUUUGCCCGGGGAUAACACCCUCCACUUGUGGCGGUCUGCAGGUACCGUGCGAAUAAGGACCGGCUAAUUCCGUGCCAGCAGCCGCGGUAAUACGGAGGGCCCGAGCGUUAUCCGGAUUCAUUGGGCUUAAAGGGAGCGUAGGCGGGCGUUCAAGUCAGCUGUAAAAUCGCGCGGCUCAACCGCGCCCCGCAGUUGAAACUGGAAGCAUUGAGUUAGCAAGAGGUAGGCGGAAGUCGGGGUGUAGCGGUGAAAUGCAUAGAUAUCACGAGGAACCCCGAUUGCGAAGGCAGCCUGCCGGGGUGAGACUGACGCUGAGGCUCGAAGGUGCGGGUAUCAAACAGGAUUAGAUACCCCAGUAGUC